rnacentral:rRNA from 1 species
GCGUAGGAAUCUACCCAGUAGUGGGGGACAACAUGGUGAAAACCAUGCUAAUACCGCAUACGCCCUAUGGGGGAAAGCGGGGGAUCUUCGGACCUCGCGCUAUUGGAUGAGCCUGCGUCGGAUUAGCUAGUUGGUGGGGUAAAAGCCUACCAAGGCGACGAUCCGUAGCUGGUCUGAGAGGAUGAUCAGCCACACUGGGACUGAGACACGGCCCAGACUCCUACGGGAGGCAGCAGUGGGGAAUAUUGCGCAAUGGGGGAAACCCUGACGCAGCCAUGCCGCGUGUGUGAAGAAGGCCUU